GACGAACGCUGGCGGCAUGCCUAACACAUGCAAGUCGAACGAGACCUUCGGGUCUAGUGGCGCACGGGUGCGUAACGCGUGGGAACCUGCCUUUAGGUUCGGAAUAACUCAGAGAAAUUUGAGCUAAUACCGGAUGAUGUCUUCGGACCAAAGAUUUAUCGCCUUUAGAUGGGCCCGCGUUGGAUUAGCUAGUUGGUGGGGUAAAGGCCUACCAAGGCGACGAUCCAUAGCUGGUCUGAGAGGAUGAUCAGCCACACUGGGACUGAGACACGGCCCAGACUCCUACGGGAGGCAGCAGUGGGGAAUAUAGGACAAUGGGCGAAAGCCUGAUCCAGCAAUGCCGCGUGAGUGAUGAAGGCCUUAGGGUUGUAAAGCUCUUUUACCCGAGAUGAUAAUGACAGUAUCGGGAGAAUAAGCUCCGGCUAACUCCGUG
rnacentral:rRNA from 1 species